GAAAAGAAGAAACCAGAAGAUCUAUUUUGAGCCUACACAUACCCCAUGUCAACCUCUUUGAAAACCAUUUCUCAAGCAAGUGUAUCUUUCGAACUUACAAACUUCAAAGUUCUCAUCUCCUGUCUUUCACUAAUCACAAGCUUUGAAUCCUCUCUCCUCAACACUCAUUUUCUAUACUUAUCCUUCCUUUCUUACCAGUAGGCAGAAGUUCCUGGUAUGCGACCUGAGAUGAAGAAAAAGGCGGAUGUGGUGAGAACAGGAGGAUGUCGGGCUGUAAGAGGGAUAGAAACCGUAAGAGCAUUUGCACAGUGCACCUUUAAUUUUUUAAUAGCCAGACAGUCCACAAAUGUUUUUCCCCUGCAUCCAAGUUCCCAUUCUCGAUUCCCUUGGCACAAAGUUUUACAGCAUGUGCAUCUCAGGAAUAAUAAACCAAAACAUUUUUUAAGGAUCAAUGGUUCACCCCAAAUUAAUCCCACCCUGGAUGAAACUCCACCCCCACAAGAAUAGGAAGUCAAGAAAGUUAAGUAUAUAUAUAUAUAUAUAUAUAUAUAUAUAUAUAUAUACACACACACACACACACACUUCCUUGUGCCCCACAAUCUCUUCUCCUGGUAUUGCUGAUGCCUCGGUUCCAAACUCCAGCCUUAACUAUAAUCUUCCUUGACAGAGUGCAUUCACUUGUGUUCGUGUUAACCAAUGCUGCUUUAUUUGUGCAGUAUCUACAGAUAUAUAAGUCAACGUUUCAGUCCUAACCGGACCUGAGAAAUAUAUAUAUAUACAUUAAAAUUACUAUGAAAUUUGUUAAAGCUUAUAGAUUGCUUGUAUCAAAAUAAUACAUAAUUAUUUCUAAUUAUAAACAAUAGACUAAAAAUCUUUCACAUACAAAUGCACAAAUGCUGUGGGAUCUUAAUCCUUCUCUGAUUACAUGGGAAUAUAUUUCCUGUAACAAAAGAAAAUAAGUAUAGAAAAUAUAAAUAGAACAGUGUUAUAUUAAGACUGACAUAUGAAGAUUUUCUCUCUUUUUCACAUAUGACCCUUGAUGCUGCUAUCAUUGUCACCCAAGUCAAUUUGCCAUUAAUUUGCAUGUACUUAUUUAAUAUACAAUAUGUACCACACCUCAAAUAAGAUGUAAAUGGAGCAAGAGCAUUUUUAUGUUUAUCCUCAUAAAUCACACAAAAUCUUCUAAAUAAUCCUCCAUAUUAUCUGUAAUAUCUCACGAAAGACAGUACUUAAAAUCUGAUUAUACACUAAUCCACGUAAAGGCACUAGCCUUGGUGAAAGAAUGUUGCAUCGGUGCAUUUUUAACUCUGGUUUCAUUGUUUUAUCAAUUUGUGUGUUGCUUGUAAAAUAGUCUUUUACGUUUUAGAAAGCAUUCAUUGUUUUCUCAGACAGGAUGGUGCUUGGUAAGCCAUGUCUUUAAAACACAUUUUUAAGGUUUGUAAAAUUGUCAAAGUUAUCACAGCACAUAUUAACAAUAUACACAAUUUGCAUUUUCAUCAAAAUAUAUGUGUGCACAGCUGCCAUCACCAUUCAAUUCAAAGCUUAAAAUAUAAGUUGUUUUAUAAAAGCGCUUGUGCUUGAGUACUAAUAUACCAGAAAUAUAUAGUUAGAAAUUUCCUACUGCUAAAGCCUUAUACAAGACACAAAUAUUAAAGUGCAUUAAUAAUUGAUCACUUUUUCAUCAUGGAUUAUACUAUUACAUAAAUCAAAAUAAAUGUCUAAAUAAGUAAUGUUUGUUACUUUUUUUUUUUUUUUGGAUAUAGGUAUAUUCAAAUUAAUUAAAAUGCAACUGGUAAACAAUGCACAAAAACUCCAGCUAUGCAGGGUAUAAUGGCACAAUGAUAUAUAAACAUGGUUUGGAUAAAAGCUAAAAUAAAAUUGGGUUUUGAAUAGUCCAAAAUAGGAGUAAAUGUUACUUUAUUGCUGAAAUGUUAUUACAUUGUAACUAUGAAACUCUGCUUAAUCAACAAAUAAUAAAACCAGAAUUACGAGAGAACAGCAUCAACAUCAUAUUUUAAUGGACUAUAAUGCCAUCACCUUUACUUACUAUUAAGCUGAUGAUGGUCUGGGAAUUUUUAGAACAACGGACAAAAGAAAAUGGCAGCCUUCACUCUGUUAAAAAAAUUAAAAGAAACAGUCAUUGUGUGUUGGGUACAAACUAUCCCUGGAAAAUAAUGAAAUAGAAUUUUCUCUCUAAGAAGUAAGAACGAAGUGCCACAUUUAUAUCAAAAAGGGAAACUAUAGUUAAAUCCUUUUAAAAUGGAGUGGAUUUUACAGGAAACCCAUAUUUCAUUGUGAAUGAGUGUUUGUUAUUACUACAUGCAGACAUGAUUCCAUUUUACCUACAUCCAUUUUUAUUAGUUGUCUCCACCCUAUAUUAGUCGAAAGACAGUUUAAUCCCCAUUCUUGCAAGGCAUGUUAAUACCAAGAAAUAGAAGAUGGAAACCAACCUGCUCAUACAAGUAAAACUGGUAUAGUAUUAUUAUUUUUAAAGAUGAGCUAGGUGGGUUUUGACUUACAGCAUUAGUAUAAUCUUUAUGAUCUAAAGAUUGUGUGAUUCUUUAAUAGUGUCAAUCGCAAUGUGUUUUUGGAAUGGUAUGCUAACUUGUAAAACAGGUUUCUCUAAAUGGGCAAUUUAUCUCAGAACAAGCUUUGAUAGCCACUCUCAUUUCUAAAGGAAAUUAUUAUUAGAAAUAUGCAAUUGUAGUGAUCAAAAGAAGAUAAAAAGAUUUUGUUAGAGAUUUGAGAACUCUUCUACUGUUGCUUAGAAUUAACUUUCAUAUAGACGAUGAUGUUUGUUGGAAAAACAUGAAACUUUUUUUAUUCUUUAUUUUUAUUUGAAAGAAAGUGUAAAACUAUAUUUUAGUUUACAUGUAUAGUAGACAUAUAUAAUAUAAUACAAUACAAUUACAAAUUAACAAUGAGUUGUUUUUCAUUAUACGUAGAUGAAUGAAGGCACUUUCAGGGACUUUAGACUAGUAUCAGAUUUGAUUUUUAACUUCGAGCUUUACUUGAUACAUAGAACAGUUAACCACAUUUGUGAAGUGGGAAAUGGAAAGUCAGAGCAGGAAAUGGAAUAGAGAAUGGAGAGGGUAGAAGCAGCAGGCAUAAGCACUCUGAUCAGUAGACUUGUGCAUAGUAAGAACAUUUCGGAAUACCUGAAUUUUGGCCAAAUGUCAGUUUAGGUUGGCAGAAUUUUGGUAUUUGAAAUCCAGUUUGGGGGCCAAAUCAGACGAAUCAAAAGGGAAUGGAAAUGGGCCAAUCAGUGUACUGUAAAAUCAGUUAUUUUGAGAAGUGAGUGCUAUAGGGCUAAUGUUGCUUGGAGUGUUUCUUUAGAGGGCCUAAAAUCCACGCAUCUAAUGAUGCUCUGGAGUGAAUUCCAAACAUAGGUCCACCAAAAAGACAAAACAACUUGCCUUCAUUGUAUUCUUGUCUUACCAGUUGCAGUGCAUAUCUGUAGGAAAAACCAAACCAAGAAGUGUUAAAGCACACACAAUUAUUAAAAAUUUUUUACCUUUUAAAAAUUAAUGAGAAGGGUCUUGUAACAUACAUUCAGAUAAGAGGACCCUAAAUAAAAUAAAUAUAAAAUGGAAAAACCAUAGUGCAAUCUGUAUAUAUAUAUAUAUAUAUAUAUAUAUAUAUAUAUAUAUAUAUAUAUAUACACACACACACACACACACACAAUUGGCACACUCAAGAACCCUUAAAGAAUGGCUCUGAACUGUAUAGGCACUUCAUCCACCAUAGGGAUUGUAGUAAAAUCUUUUGCUGGAAUAAGAAGGUAUCCAGAAGCGACAGGAAUCAGAUGAUCAAUGUUAAAAUCACUUUAUUCAAGCUUACUUAUCUGUACAUGGAAUAAAGUGAUUUAUUUUAUUUAGGGUCCUCUUAUCUGAAUGUAUGUUACAAGACCCAUCUCAUUAUUUUUAAAAGGUAAAUGAUUUGUAAUCAUUGUGUGAGCUUUAACACUUUUUGGUUGUGUUUUCUACUAUUUUUGUUCAGUGUACAAGGUGACAUUACACUUUAAGCUGUGUUAGUUUCCACCGGAUUAUUAUUAAACGAGCGCCACAUAUCCCUUUAAAAGUUUUGUAUUAUAUCUGUAGGAAAUGCUGCAUAUUUUCCGAGUUCCAUAAUCUUAAAAAGAUGGAAAUAUUUUGGGUGAAUAUGUAAUUGGAUAUUUCACCUUUGAAAAAAAUACUACCUAUCAUAUUUUGAGUUAAUAAAUUGAAAACCGAAUUGCAAAAUUAAGGCAAAAUCAGUUGUAUUGUAUAGAUGAGUUGGAGAUUUUUUUCAAAAUUUCACAAAUGGAUUUUUAAUUCAUUACAAUUUUAUAUUUAAUCAAUAAACCUCUAAAUAUUGUCUCUUCUUCAUCAUUUCUUUUUUUUCUUUCUGAAUACCGUAGCAAGUUUUCUGCAUGUGGUAUCAUGACAAUUGUUUCUCUCUUGGAAGCUUGGAAGACAAAUGUUUCUCUCCUGGAAGCUUGGAAGACAAAUGUUUCUCUCUUGGAAGCUUGGAAGAAUUUAUGGAUGUUCCGGAAAAUAAUCUCUUGAGAUAUAGUUUACAGUUUAUAUAUUUUGUUGGUAUUAAAUGUGUAUCUGAUGUUUGUGUCUGCAUUUGGUAAUCAUUUGUUAUCAUGUAAAGCCAAAAAGGUGAUAAGCGCACACAGAUAGUUCCCUUUUAUACAAAUUCUUUUUAAUUAUUAAAUAGGUUAUUAAAAUAUCACUUUUCAGGGCCCAUUUAAAGUUGGCUCUGGACUUGUAAAGCAUAUAUGUCUCCUUAUAGACACAGGAUAACUUCCUCCAAAGAUUGGAAUCCCAAAGGUGCAAAAGUGCUUGCAUCAGAUACUCCAGGAAGAGGUAGGAAGGUAGGUAUAAACAAUUUAUUACUUCAUAUAUAAAAACUUAAUAAAAAGAUACAAACAAAUAGAAUGUACAAUGCGUUUCAACCCUGAUUGGGUCUUCCUCAGGUGCUGGUAUGUGCCUCACUGGCCUAGCAUCCUUAUAUAUCGGUACAUACACAUUGAUUAAUUGCUGACACAUGUAAAAAUACACCCCUUACCAAAUAUGGUCCAAACUGCAUAUGUACUAUGCCACCUCCAAUAUGGCGACAUAUCCAGUUUCAGACCUGUAUUUCCACCCCUCCAGCCAUGUUGAUAGAUUUCAAAGUCCCAUACUGAGUGUCCACCUUUCACUGCUUCGGAACAAAUCCGCCGCAUCACUCUCUGUGAUAUCUUUCUGCCGGUAUAUGUUCUACUUAUUUGUCCUUAACGUCAUUUCCUGUGACGUAUUUCCAUCGUAUGUUACCUUCCCAUAGGUUCAGGCAAUUUCAUAGACAGAAGUGCAGCUCUUUUCAAACCAAAUUGUUCAAUCUCAGGCGCCCGAAUAAACAGAUGAUAAUUGACUAGAAAUGACUAGAAAGAGCAUAAAAAGACAAUUAAUGAUUAAUAAAAGAACAUAUAAUUGAUAUAUUACAUUAGGAAUAUAUUAAAAAAUUGGUUAAUAAAAUCCAGUGUGUAAAAAAUGGUCGUUAUAUAAAAAUGGAAUUAGAUAAGAACAGUUACAUAAAAAUAGAAGGAAAAAAACAAAAACAAAAAGAAGGGGAGGGAUAUAAAAUAAAUCUUAUAAAAUAGGAUUAAUUUCAAAAUCGAUAUUGAAUCCCUUAGGAAGUGCGUAAUUAAAAAUUACAUUUUGUCUCCUGAAUACUUAAUUUCUUAGCAACAUCUCCCCUCCAAUGUGCAUUCACUUUUUCUAUUGCACAAAAUUCUAAGUGCUUUGGUUCUGACAUAUGUUUUUCUAAAAGGUGCUUAGACACACUGUGUCACUAUAUGUGCUCAUGUCUUUAAAAGGAAUCCUGUCAUUAACCCUGGUGUCCCCUUUUAUUUUUCUGCAGUUAUAGUAAAUAUACAAAUAACUUAAAAAGUCAAGUAUAUUUAUUUACACGUAUAUAAGUAUAUAGGUAUAUAUUAAUGUUAAUGCUUUGCCUGGAGUUGAUGGAGGGGUUUUGUGUUACCUAUAAAAGGGACUCCUCCCUUUCCUACCCUACCAUCAAUUGUCUGGCGAUCUGCAUGCAAUCUACUUCCGGUGCAGACCUCCAUCGUUCAACUAACCUGUCCACAUGCUAUCCUUGCUCUGCUGUUGGCUGUCUCCUGUGUUCUUCCAUCGUCAGGCUCAGCUCCAGCUCCUUACUCCUGAACCAGCCCUCCAUGCGGCAAACUGACCUGGAAGCACUUGCUGACCUUCAACCCUGUGGACAGACUGUUGCGUAUAUGUAUAUUGUCAACUAUAAUAUUUAUACGUAUAUGAUCAUUGAAUUUUCGAUUUUGUCUGUGGCUAUAUUAUAUUCCUCUGUUAAACAGAUCAUCAGGUUAUGGUUCUUCCCAUAGGUAGGUCAUUUAAAGGUUUUAAAGUAUUCUACUGUACUGUGCAUGUCUUAACAGUCAAAUAUAUAUAUAUGUAAAUAUAUACACACACACACACAAAUGGUGUUGCGCUGGAGAGUUAGCAGUACAAUGCCAUUUGUAACCUGCUGUGCAUUCGACACUUGUCCAUCUCUGUCUACAUAUAUCCUAGAUAUAAAUAUAAUCAUUAAUAAAGUUCUAUUCAUUACUGACAUCCAAAUACAUAUUAAAGACGUUAGGUCAAGCGAUAUAUGGGGUAAUUGGUUCUUUGGGUAAACACUAUCCCAUACGUAUGGAUACUCCUGCACUGUCUGCAGGCCAGCUUAUAAGCCAUAUCUUAUAUAUCUCAUGGAAACAACAUUCUAUAACAGAUUACGGGGUCAUCAAUUUUCAGAGCAGCGUUUGCUCUUCGUACCUAGAAUACAAUGUCAGUAGCUAGGUGUGUGUUACAUACAGGGGUAAGACGGUCAAGAGUUCCUUAGCUUUACAGGCUUAAUAAUAUGUAUACAAAUAUUGGUCAUUAUUAGGUAAUAGGCCUCUCCUUCCCCUCUCAGCCUCCUUUAGUGGGAACUACAAAUUUCAGUUACAGGUUGCACCAUACUAUGCAUAACCUACACAAGUACUUAUACAAAUCCAGGUACGUUUUCAGCCACAAUGGCUCCCCCGCAACUGUUUUACUGGGUGACUGGGAUCUAGGUGGCCAAUAGAAGUUAAGUUUCAGUAAUCUCUGAUUUAGAUUUAGUGGUCCCACGAGGUCUACACCCAUCCUCCACACAUGAGGUACUACGUUCCUUGGGCCAACACAUAGUUAGCCACCUCGCAUAAUGGCAUAGAGAGGGCCUCACUUGUCACACCCAAUCUAGCUUAUGCUUUAAAAGUCACAGAGAGGCCAACACCCCGCCACAACUUUCGGUGGCAACGAAACCCCCUCGCGCCAAAGCAUAGAUAGAACCUCUUGAGCUGCUUGGCAACUAGCAGGGCCUCACCUGUCACCAACUUAGUGAAUUGCUUCUCCACUUGGCACUAGCUAGCAAGUUAUUAAAAAACGGUUUGAAUACAAACCAAUUGUUGCUAAAUUUUCAGUAUGUCUCAGAUUCCAAAAGAAGGAGAUAAUGUGUCAAUUCCCAGCACUCCAGCAAGGCCCACUACACCUAUAUGUAAAGGUAAUACCCAUAGCCCUGCUUCCAUCAGGUCAUGGACCAUCCCACAAAUAACGGCUGAACUACACAGGCGCAACAUUCCUUUCCUGGAAACAGCUAGGAAGGCAGAGCUAUUCAGGCUCAUGCAUAGUAAUACCGAUAAUAUAGAUGCUGGAAAGGGCAUGGGUAGCUCAAACAACACUGAUCUCCAUGCAAUGAUAUCAUCACUCGUGUCCUCUAUGGGAAAUAUAAACGAGAGACUGGAAAGAUUUAAGCAUGUAGUCUCGCUAUACCAUCAGUGUGGCCCCUUGCUACCGAACCACCAGGCACUACUCAGACACAAUCUGGUAAUAGCUUAUCAGCAGGUUCGUGGCUCACAUGUUAUUCAAUCAGCUCAUAUGGUAGACUUAGCUAAUAAAUACGGUGGUACGGCACCUUCUCAGUGAAGGUGUCUGCAGCUCUUGCCCAGUUUGAUGUUAGUACAGAUUGGAGUCAACUGGACAAAGAGCUUUUCUGCAGACACUUCGCUGGAACGAGGACACCAGCUUGUGCAAUCUGUGCAUCCACUUCACACUCAGCUAAUCUAUGUCCAAUCUCACCCGACAUCUCUCCUAACCUGGCCACCCCAAGCACCAAAGCAAAGAGUGACAAACCAGUCAAGGAUAAAUUAGGACGUCAAAUUGUGUAUUUGGGAAAUCACAAAUAUGUAACAACUUUAACGAAGGUACUUGUGGAUAUAGUGCUUGCCGCUUGCUGCAUGUUUGUUCCCACUGCUACAAGGCCCAUGCAAAAGCUAUGUGCCCCAAUAAAAUGCAUUCUUAACCUUAUUUAACCUCUGGGGAUGUUGGUUCUCUAGUCAGCCUUCUACCCACCCACACGUCCAAACACUUGGUUGAAUUUUAAUAACAGAUUUCACCCAAGGUUUCCAUACAGGCAUCAUUCACAGGCCAGCAGGAACCAUAGAAUACAACAACCUACAAUCGGCUAUGGCAAAUAUAAGGGAUGAAGGGCUUCUAUUGGGGCCUUUUCAGGGACCUCCAUUUUCUAGUUGGAUGACAAACCAAUUUGGCAAAGUUACCAGGAAAACUCUUCAAUACAAAGACUUAUUAUAGACAUCUCUACACCACACUCCUCAGCAGUCCCUAGUCUUAAUGCCACGAUUCCCUCAGAGGAAUUUUCACUACAAUACACAAUGUUAGAUAAUGCCAUAGAUGCAAUCAUUUCAGUAGGGAUAGGGGCAUGGCUCAGUAAUACUGACAUAGUUAAUACCUUUAAACUUCUACCCAUUCACCCAUCUCUAAGGCACCUGCACAGUAUUAAAUGGAGAAGCAUGCAUUAUUUUUCACAAGACUUACUUUCAGAUCACAAAGCAACCCAAAAAUAUUCAACACAUUGGCAGAAUCUUGUGCUGGCUUUUACUUAAUAUACACCGCUGCCAAUACAUACAAUACAUAAUGAGAUUUCUUAGUAGAUUGACUUGGUUAGCAGCCUGUACACAAUUUUACCAAGUGUUGUCAUGUUCCAGGUAUACACAACAUGGCAGCUAACCAGUUAUCUCGCUUUCAAUUCCAGGCAUUCCAGGAAACUCUUCCUACUGCCUCACGACUGGCUACAGCCGCCCCACCAUUCCAAGACCCAAUAAUGGAUUAGAUGAGUCAUUGACCCAUAGGCAAGUAUUAACAAAAUGGCUCUAUCACUUAAUACUCGUCGAUCUUAUGUUAGGGCCUUCUACUUAUACAAGAGAUUCCUAGCGGAACGUAACAUAGCCAACAGGUUUGAUUUAACAUCUCUGGUAGGUUUGCUACUUUUUGCCACCUUAAAUUUAGACUAUCUCACAAUACUAUCAACUGGCAUACAACAUCACAUGUUCUCUACUUUUCCAAACAAUUCCACUUUCAUAUCAUCUUUCCAAUAAAGACUAUACUUAAAGGUAUAUAAAGCAACCUGUACAGGAAAUGCAGAAGGUUUUUGUCAAAAUGUCCUCAUAAUGUAAUAUAUAUAGUAUUAUGUUCAUUGUCUAAAUAUACAACGGCACUGUAUUCUCUCCUUUUUGCCCACUUUUAUUUACAGGCCUACUGCAUCAUCAUUUUCCGGCACACCUCAACCGACUUUUCCUAUAACAGGUUACAUCGCAGCACAAUCUUGUAUUAUCAAUAUUGAUAUUGCCUCGAUGUUGCCUGGAGUUGUGGGAGGGACUUGGUGUUGCCUAUAAAAGGGACCCUACCUUCAAUGGUCUGGUGAUUUAAAUGCCCUCCCUCCACACCCUUUAUUCAUUAAUAUUCUACUAAGAGUGGGCCCACUUUUAUUUCCAGGCCUACCGCAUCGUUGGUUCCGGCACAUCUCAACCGACUUUUCCUGUGUGUAUAUAUAUAUAUAUAUAUAUAUAUAUAUAUAUAUAUUAUUAAGCUAAAUUGAGGACUCAGACAUUACAUUAUUGUACUCUCUAGAACUAUUCGUAUUUAUGCAGUCAUGGAGAUGAUGAGUACAUGGAAUAAAAGAGGCACAAAGAAGAAAUGUAUGUAUGCUGUAAUUUCCUUUCGGUAUAACACCUUUCCUUCGGGCAUCCUAUUCGAUAUAAAUCUUAUGCACCAUCAUCCUUUUUAGAACUUCUUCUUUACCUCUUUUUCUCAGCAACUUUCUAUAUGAACAUAAUCCUAAAUCACAAAUAUAAAAGUAUAUAUAUAUAUAUAUAUAUAUAUAUAUAUAUACACAUAUAUAUAUAUAUAUAUAUAUAUAUAUAUAUCAUGAACUGUGAAUCAUGAAGAAAUAUGUCCCUCCAUUUGAAGGAAAACUGGAUUUGCUGAUCAACAACUGUGACAGGAAUGUGCAUGGUUCGGAAUUAAAUUGAUCUGAAUGUUUUUCACCAUAAAUUAUUAUUAGGUAAUAGAAAGGUAUUGAUACAUAUUAAAGCAAUUCACAUGAUCCAAGCUAUUUUUUUUUUUUUUUUACUAAAUUAAGUAUUUAUUUGAUAGAAUAGCAGUCUCCCCUAGGGUGACCCAAAGUUGUGUAAUAAAAGGAACUUGUACAAUGGGGUUCACUCAGAACAUAAAUGUAAUUAUCGUAAAAUGAAAAAAACACUCUUAAUGUCAAAAGUAUUUAGAAAGAAAAAGUACUUACAAAAAUAAAAGAAAAACAAAAUAACUUUAUUAAUAGAUAUACUGGGACUUGUAUAGUCAGCCAAACAAAGCAAAAUAUCUAAAACAUCCUUUAAAGUUACAGGAAAGACAAAGGAGGGUUAACCCGAAACCGUGACCAAUUCUCAUUAGUACAAUAUGAACGUAAUGUGAUUGUAUCCAGGUUAUGAGGAAUCCUAUUGAAUCUAAGUACCCUGCCUGUUAAGAAAGCCCUUGCUUUUUCUUUUUCACUAUAGCACAGUGUGAUGGGGAUGUAGACGUAUCGAUAGGCAGAAAACUGGGUUUUGUGGGUUUGAUAUUUUGGGAGAUCCUCCAUUAUACGGCUAGUGAGGAGAGGGGAAUGAUUUUGUAACUUGUGGUAGCUUACUAUUUGAGGAGUCUCCUUGACAAUCCUAUUUUUGCCCAAUGUAAUUUUUCAAAACUUACCCUGACAUCAACACUAGCUAUAGAGCUAUUUUCCCUAUCAAUACCACUGCAAAUGAAUGAUAUCCAUGAACUUAUGUAAAGACUGUCAAUUGAGUCAGUCACAAAGACCGUCAGAGGUAUUGGGAUUAGUCCCUUUAUUUAUAUGUUUUUAUUUUUUUGAUCAUUUGUAACUUGCUCUCUAGCCUGAUACUUUUGGGUUUCAAGUUACAGUCUCUAACUGGAGAUUGAACACAGCGUUUCUUAAAUACAGAGACUGUAUUUUGAUCAUAGCUUUAUAUAGAUUUUAUCUUUUGGAGUCUAUUUAAAGCCUAUAACCCUUAAAGAUAUAAGCAUCUAUACAGCUUCUCAGUGGUCUUACGUGCUCCCAACUUGCACCGUUACAGUCCAUAAUGAAUGCGGCGGCGAGGCACAUCUUCCUGUCCGCCCGCACCUCCCAUGCCUCACCCUUCUGUCAGUCCUUACAUUGGCUUCCUGUAAGAUAUAGAGCUCAAUUUAAAAUUCUGGUUCUUGCUUUCAAAUCUCUACAUAAUGCUGCUCCCACUUAUCUAUCCUCCCUUAUACACAAGUAUGUCCCGUCUAGGCCCUUACGAUCUGCUGAAGACUUACGUCUAUCUUCUGUCCGUACUCCCACCUCUGAUGCUCACCUUCAAGAUUUCUCGAGGGCUGCACCGUUCCUGUGGAACUCGCUUCCCUCCUCCGUUAGAUGCUCACCCAGUCUCCACGACUUCAAAAAAAUUGUUAAAAACCCACUUCUUCAUAAAAGCGUAUCAAUUAAACUGUUAGUAGCUCCUGACUGAUUCCUCUUCUGCAACUAUCACUAGUCUAAUACUAUCCUUACCUUUUUAUGUCAUUUUACCCCACUCACUCUAGCAUAUAAGCUCAUUGAGCAUUGCCCUCAACCCCUCUGUUCCUGUGUGUCCAACUUGUCUGGUUACAACUACAUGUCUGUUCGUCCACCCAUUGUAAAGUGCUGCGGAUUUUGACGGCGCUCUAUAAAUAUCAUAAUAAUAAUAAUAAUAGUAACCUAGUGUUAUAUAACAGGUGGGAUACUUAGAUUCAAUAGGAUUCUUACUUACCUAGAUACAAUCACAUCAUGUUCAUUCUGUACUAAUGAGAGUAAGUCACAGUUUAAGGUUAACCCUCAUUUGUCUUUCCUGUACUUUUAAGGAAUGUUUUUGUUAUUUUGCUCUAUUUUACUGACUAUAUAAGUCCCAGUAUAUGUACUAUUAUUAAGGUUAUUUUAAAUGUAAUUAUUUUUUUUAUGUUUUUAUAGUGACUUGUUCUUGCUAAAUACUUCUAACAUUAGGAUUUUUUUUUUAGCUUUUGAGAUAAUCACAUAAGAAGUAAGUAUUUCCCUAUGAUCUUAUCAUUUAAAUGAUCACUAUAGGGUCAGGAACACAAACAUGUAUCCUAUAGUGUUAAAUCCACCAUCUACACCCCCUUGGCCCCUCAUGCCUCCAUAAAUAUAGCAAAAUCUUACUGUAUUCAAGCCUAAAGCUGUAGAUCUGCUUGCUGUUUGCCUCAGAAAAACAAGCUGUCUGCUGACAUCAUCAGAAGUGGUGGCCUGAUCCAAUCACAAUGCUUCCCCAUAGGAUUGGCUGAGACUGACAAAUAGGCAGAUCAGGGGCAGAGCCAGCAUGAUUCAAACACAGCCCUGGCCAAUCAGCAACUCCUCAUAGAGAUGAAUUGGAUCAAUGAAUCUCUAUGAGGAAAGUUCAGUGUCUGCAAGCAGAGGGAGGAGAUACUGAAUGUUUGGAUGCAUUUUAGGCAGCCAUGACCAAGGAAGGCUCUCUAACAGCCAUCUGAGGAGUGGCCAGUGAAGUUAUCGACAGGCUGUAAUGUAAACACUGCAUUUUCUCUGAGAAGACCGUGUUUACAGCAAAAAGCCUGAAGGUAAUGAUUCUACUCACCAGAAAAAAAUCAAUAAGCUGUAGUUGUUCUGGUGACUAUAGUGUCCCUUUAAAUAUAAGUGAGAACAUAUAACAUAUUUUUUUUAUAUAUAGAGCAUAUACAGACCUAUUUUUUUGCUAUCUAGAGAACUAACCUAUCCAAUAAGAAUAUGGGAAUAUGAAUUAGAGUGAAUCGUCUUUAUGUAUUGUCCAAGUGCUUAAAAUGUCAUACAUACAAGGUACUGGGCACUUAUUUUAGAUCAGAAGAAAAAAAAAAUAAGCAUUGGUCAGUUUCAUAUCAUCUGGAAAUAAUUACAAAUUGUUUUAUGACUUUUUUUUGCUCUCAAAAAUAAUAUUUCUCUUCCCUCAAAAAAUAAAAGAUGGUUGUGCUUUAUCUUCCCACAGUGUCCAAAGAUUUAAACCUAUAAAAAUGAAAAAGGUACACUGUAUACUCUACACAUAAUUUUUUAAUAUCCACAAUACACAUUUUUUUUACCCUGUGUAAAUGGAAAUGUUUACAGAGCUAAAGAUUUUAAGACAUAUUUAUUGAUUAAGUAGUGUUAUAUCAUAAAAUCUAUUGAAUUGUUAGUAACUCAAGGUCAUUGAAAGCUCUUGUGAGUCAUAUCUUGACUGUAUGCCUGCAGCUGGGCUAACUUGAUUAAUGGAUCUGUUCAAUACCCACUGGGAAGCUUGGGGUAACUUGUUUCCAUAGCAUCAUUUUCGUGAGUCAAGCCACAAUUGACAUUAAUGGGGACUUGUGUCAAGAGCUGAGCUUGGGUAGUUUAUUUGUCAGUACAGUUUUACUAUGUUCAAAACCUCAGAUUUUUUUUCUGAUUUUUAGACUGUUGUUAGUGACCCUGGAAGGCUUAGUUCAAUGGUUGGCCAGAUUUUGACAUUAGUACAUCUGCCUUUUGACUGUAAACAGCAGGGUGAAUUGAUAGCGUAGAAUUCACCUAGCUGGAUAUACCUUGAAGUAGAAGGUUCGUGGUUCCUUGUAAUAAAAUCCUCAUCAUGUUCUAUACCCUUAAGGGGAGACAAGCACAUUAUCUCUUACAUUUUGUAAGUUCUCCACCUCGUGGAGCUAUUUAUUUUAUCCUUAUGUACUUCACCAUAUAUUGUCCUUUUUAUUUGUAGAGUUAUACUAUAUCAGACUAUGGACACACAGGUUGUAUUGUUCCUAUCUGGGUGUAAUCCAUAACCCCCUACCCCAUUAUAUACUCCCCCAUUCUAGGGACGUAUAUAAUAGUUUGUUUGUUCCAUAUUUUUGCAGUGUUUUGUGAGGUACACUUUGUAGGGUGGUUUAUUCUUCCUUCUGUGUGUAUAUAUAGUAACUAUUUUGUGCUAUGCAUCUUGAAUAGAGUAUAAAGCACCUUUGGAGAAUUAUUGGCAUAUUAAAAAAAUAAACGAAAACACUUAAUCCCUUUGGAUGAUAAACUCAUGAUUUUACUUUUUAUAAUUCUUUAAUGGAUAAAAGCUCAUUAUAGAAAAUAUAUAUUAUUUAAUAAUGUUUUCUCAAUUAUGCACAUAAGUCCAAGUAUAACUCAUAAGUAAGCAACCACCUUUUCUUUCACACUUUUUGUGAUAUCACUAAAAUUCAGCACAGCUGAAGAUAUAUAAAUUUAAUUUUGUAUCAAUAAAUAUGACACCACUAAUCUGAUUACUGUGCAGAUCUUCAUUCGAAAAGUAAAUCCACUGGUGAAGUAAACAUGCCAAACACCUGACUAAAAUGAGACCAUUAAAUUAUAUUUUGGCAGUGCAUGUAUAUUGCUUUGGACCGAUUUCACUUUCACUGCUGUAAUUUGGACACCAUACAAAUAUAGCUUAAAUAUUGCUAAAUUUUGUCUUUUAUUAAAACUUCAUAAUAUACUCAUAGAAUUUAAAGAAAAAAAAAUUCUGAAGCCCAUUGCUACAUUACAGGGGUAGGAAUAAAUACUGCUGCAUAACCUCCAGACUGGUUUGAACAGAUUACAGGAAUAUUUGCUGGAUCAGUAAGGGCUUGGCUUUGAUAAACUGAGGGGGCUUUGAGAGUUAAUAAGUGAACGGCUAACCUCAAGGUGAUGGAAUUUUGAAUCUUCAGUGUCAUUUGCCCGGCGAGUUAACGACUCCAGGGAACUGGCCAUGCCAAUUUUUGUUAUGUGCCAGAAAUUAAAUCAUAUCAGUUUAAUUUCAGAUAUUUUUAAUGCCUUCCAGAUCUCUCAUUUUUAUCAACAUCUUCAAAAGAUUAAGUUAUCAUGUGUAUAUGUUUUCCCCAAAAAUGCUCUCUCUGUAGUGAUGUUUCAAUCUAUACGCUAAUAUUUCUUAUGACUUGAUGGUUAAAAUAUUGUGUCCUGUGUUUACCUGAAAAAGGUUUCUAAUGUCAUGCUGAAAAUAUUUUGUAUGAUACGUUUAUAAUCAUUAGAACAUGGGAUUAAAUCUCAUCCCAAAAAUACAUUCUAAUUUAACAUGGUUUAUGUAAAAUAGUUUAUGACAGGUAUUUUAUAAAGAUGCCCAUUUUAUUACUAUAAUAUAUAUUCUUUCCUUUUCGAAAUGCAUGUUCAUAAAAAUAACAUGCAGCAGUCUUUAGUCGUGCAAGAUGUUUUAAAAUUUUGUUUUCUCAUUCUUUUCCUAUUUGCAGGCUAAAACUAAAGAGGUUAUCUAUUGCUCACUACAGGAUAUUCUUAAAAAGAGAUUAUGCCCCCCAAAAAAGCCUCUUUAAUGACAUAUACCCGUGGUUUUUUGAACAUCGUAAUAAUUAAUUGGUGGCACAAAACAAGACUCUAACAUAACUUAGCUAGGAAUUUUGAAUCAGCUACACCAUUAGGAACACAGGGAAACGAUUCAAGUACUAAAUUCAACUCCUUCUCUCCUUCUAUUUUCAGUGUUUAAGAAAAAGUAUUGUACUGAUCUUACGAAUAUCAGUUAGGUGCCAUAUCUUUUGAUCAUGAAUAGGCAAACUUCAGUACUCGUGAUGUAGACUACAUCUUCCAUAAUGCUAUUUCAUCCAUAAUACUGGCAAAGCAUCAAAUGAGAUGUAGUCCACAGCAUCUGAACUGACCGUGAUUGCCUACCCCUGCUUUAGAUUCCGAAGCCAUUAUUAUUAUACAAACUAUUGAUUUCCCCCUUCUCUACUGUUAUUUAUUUAGUGUUAGAGUGACUGAAUAUUAGGAAAAUCUAGUGUUUGAUUUACAUAUAGUUCAUGCUUUGUUGCUUACAGAGAUACAGAUUAGAGACACUUCAUAAUUUUAUGCAAAAAUAAAAACAUAAAUAAAUCAAAUUCUGAAACAAACAAGGUUUAUUUCCUCUUAAAGUUGAGUGUGUUAUAGACACAUGGGAGAAAAAACAAUGGACAAAAGAUUAAAUGUAUACACUGGGCCAACAAAGAGAGGAAACACACACAAAAACAUGUAUUCAAGCUUUGUAACAUAAGAUUACUCCGAGGGGAGAGGUCACUGAGAAUGGAAGCACACAAUAUGAUGUACUUGCUUGUAUGUAUUAACUAUUACUGUAGAGACAUAUAGUUAAUUAUUUAUACCAUUGUCUAUCUAUACCAUUAGUAAAGGCUAUAUAAACUAGCCCAGACAUCAUGACUGUAUGUAUGCUCUUUUGUUCCUAAUAUGUAACUUAAUAUUUAACCAAAAUCCUUACAUUAAUAUCUUUUUUUCUUUUUAGAGGUCAGAUGUCACCAUCUAAAUGAAAAAACAAACAACAAUAAAAACGGUUUAAAC